GACAGAGGUGCCGAGCGUUAGGCGGAAUCACUGGGCUUAAAGCGUGUGUAGGUGGAUGCCUAAGUACCUUGUGAAAUCCCACGGCUUAACCGUGGAACUGCUUGGUAUACUGGGUGUCUUGAGCCAGCUAGGGGCUACCGGAACAAAUGGUGGAGCGGUGAAAUGCGUAGAUAUCAUUUGGAACGCCAAUGGUGAAAAACAGGUAGCUGGGGGCUGUGCUGACGCUGAGACACGAAAGCCAGGGGAGCAAACGGG
rnacentral:rRNA from 1 species